rnacentral:tRNA from 1 species
GUAUACAGUUCAGUGGUAGAACAUUUGCCUAGCAUGCACUAGGCCCUGCGUUUGAGCCCCAGCAACACA